GGCCGUAGCUGUCUGCAGUGACUAUUGAGGUAUAACAAGUGUAUUUUGGAGUCCUGCUGUCCCUGUGGAUUGAGCCGGUGAAGCCCCGAGGCACUCUAGGGGUGGAUGGAGAAGGAGCUGGGAGCCUUGGCUGUAAGGGCCCCUAAGG
ensembl:misc_RNA